GUCACUGCAGUGGUGUGGAAAUUCUCCAAAGAAAUUAAAUGGUCAGCAAAAGAAACUGAACCCAGCAGAAAUCUGUUAAGAAAGAUCCGAGCCCAAAUUUGGGAGCAGUGACAGGUUUGGGUAGGAGAGGCCCAAGAUGGCAACUCGCCCAAUAAAAACUGUAACCUACAGUCCCAAUUUGGAGGUAACCUCACUUGCAGAGCAUCGAAGGAAGAAUUGCAAGUGUAGGCUGGAUCAGACUGAUCACCUGAACCACCCUCUCCGUGAACAAGGACUCCCGUUCACGCUGAAGCUGCGGAGCGCCCGAAAGGGACUGAAGGAAGGGGACUUGUUCCUAUCACUGCUGAGACCAACCCUGAAAUCUGACAGCCAGUAGAAGAUGGAUUCUGACCUUAGUGAAGCAACUUGCAAGGUGUUAAUGUGACCACCUGCCACCGUAACAGCUCAAUGGAGAGAGUGGAUCUUGACCACUGCCAAAUGUCAGAGGUACAACUUAAAAAUAUGCGCCCAUGUGAUUUGGGUCAGCGAUUAAAGACCAUUUCCUCACCAUACCCCUGAAUGAUACUCUUACUACAGAGCAGGUGAGUAAUUGAAAAUUAAUACAGGUCACUUACUCAUCUGAGGAAAAGCUUGCUUCUGUAGCCACAGGUGGACUCUUGAGGGUAGAACUAGUGCAGGACUCCUGUGUAGAGAACCCAUGAAUGGAGAGUCCUUGCAUAUGGACAUCUACUUUGUAGGGCUCCUUGCAUAGCAGCAUGAAGGGGCAGUGAGUCAUUAGGGCAGGGGUUUUCAAACUUUUGGGGUCAGUAUACCCCUGACAGCAAGACUUUGGCACAUGGCUGGAUGCGGAGCAACGGCAGCCACCGCACACGAGCUUUCCCUGCCCCCACGUCUGGCCAGGUGGGUGGCACCUGUGUGGCUGCGUGGGAUCAUGCAUGGCAGCAUGCCAUCCCUGCUUGCCCACCCACGCAUACCCCUAGGGCCUUCUCAAGUACCUCCAGGGGUACACAUACCCCCAGUUGAUGACCCCUGCAUUAGGGGAAAAAAACAGGAGGUAAGGGCAGAAAACUUAUCUUCUGUAUCCUUUCUGGUAGAAUGGCCAAAAGGUGCUCGGGACUAGUUCUGCUGCUAACUGAAAGUGAUCGUUGUUCCCUUUCUACUUCCCUAUCCAUCUGACCAGUUUACCUACUUGGGCUGGCAGAGCAUUGAGGAUUGGGACACUAGGGGAUUUUUGUUUGUCUGACUGGGUUUUUUUUGUGUUUUACUAUCCCACAGAUGCAUAGGAAUUGGUUUUUGGAUUGUACCAGUGGUCCAUCUAGUCCAGAAUCCUGCCUUCGACAAUAUUCAAGAUCAGAUGCUUCAGUCCCCAUGAUGAACAAUUAUGGGACCCAUUGAGGAAGUUGCUAACUACUCUGUUACUCAAUGGUAAGCUUAGGCCCUGAAGCAUGAUGGUUAACCUCUCAUAUAGCUUUUUAUUUUCCAGUGGCUACCUAGUAGAGUUUAUUCCUGGACCUGUAUAUAAUGAAGGGAAGCUCUGAAUACAUUUUGGAAGGAAUCUAUAUACUACGUUGUUGGAAAUAAUCAAAUCACAUAAAGCUGUAAUGACUUUCUGAAGUCAUUCCCUAGGUGCUUCUCAAAAAUUUAUGAUGGAAGAAUCUUUUUUAGCUAAUAAAAAUUAUAAGAAUCAAGGUUA